CGACAAUCCUGCUUUUCCAAAGUGUCUGCAUCCAGUUCGCCAGACAACAGAUCAUAAGAAAUGGUUUCAACCAGGUUCCAAAGCCCUCUUCAAAGUUGAGAAGCUGUUGUCAAAUAAGAGGGUCCUUACUGAUGUGGAGAAGUUGAGCUCCAAGUACCAGACCUCAACAUUGGAGGCCUUCCACAAUAUUGUUAUACGCUUCACUCCAAAAAAUGUUGUAUUUCCAUACAUUGGCAUGUUGUGCAGGUUGUACCUGGCAGCCAUGCAUUUUAACGAAAAUGCAGGGCGUACCCAGGCCAGAACAACAUCAGGGAAACUAAGAUACAAG